CAUAUACUCCCUCCGUCUGGAAUUAGAUGACGCUCAAAUAGAUGUAUCUAGACGUAUUUCAGUGCUAGAUACAUCUGUUUGAGCGUCAACUAAUUCCGGACGGAGGAAAUAUAUU
rfam:Triticum aestivum genome assembly, contig: Triticum_aestivum_CS42_TGACv1_scaffold_640973_T_1DL-0.133767_6AS-0.124710